AGGGAUUGCAAUGCAUCAUGGGAGUCUGAGUAAAAUUCAACUUCGGCGUGUAUCACUUGUUACCGUCAAUAUUUUUACAUUAAAACGGGACAAUUAUUAUUUGGGGCGAGUGUGAAGGAGACUGCCAAAGCAGCCAGAGUGCAGCGCAGGGAUCCAAGAUUCUCCUCCAAUGCUGGAAUAAACUGACUCACACAGAGAUGCUGAUUUGAUGCACAUCCUUACUUUGAUGUGAAGCUGAAAUUACUUAAGUCCCAGGACACAGAGUGGGAACAGCUGUUGUGGUCCAGAACUGAAGGUGACUUCCUGGUUGGGCCAGGGGCUGCAACACAGGACAUGGGUUCUGCUUGUCCUCCCCGCUCGUGUCUUGUGUUGCAGCCAGUGGAGCUGCCUGUUCGUCAUCUGCUCCGCCUGUUCAACGAUGAUGUAUGGAGACCCUGGAACGGAGGGAUUCAAGCUGCCAUCCUCAACUAAAUGUUUCCUUUUGCUGUCAAACUUUUUUUCUCCUUCAAAACAAUAAAG